GUAUCCUAGAUAAGGCUGAUGGUAACAAAAUUUAAUUAAUGAGUUUUUCCAUUCCUACUAUAUUGCUUAAUUCAUUUAUUUUAUUCAUUUUAUUUGGUAAGAUUUAAACUUUGAUGAACAAUAACUCAGAUGUUUUAGAGACACUGGAAAUAUGGGAAAAGAGACUAAAAUGGAAAAGAAAACUACCAACCUAACCUUCUUCCACAAAUGUCCACGAAUGAUCACAUAUCAGUUGUUGUAUCCUGAAAUCCCAUUGCACUGACCAGCAAGAGGGUUGGGCUUUUUAUUUGCAUCCUCAUAGAAUUGUUGCAUCUCUUUCUUACAUAAUAGGCUGUGGAUUUCAAAACCAACAUACCUCAAAUCAUUUAUCAUCUGGGAAUAAAAUCACUAUUUUUGAACUAUGAGGUGCUAACUA
rnacentral:misc_RNA from 1 species